UCGAAAAAAAAAACUUUAAUUCAUUUGAAAAAACAAUAGUAUUGGGCUGUCCUUUACUUAGGAUUGCUUGUUUCCUGUUAUUGAUAAUGACAAAGGCAAAAACAUCUGAGCACACACCAAAACCAACAUGAAACAUUGGGUAGAUUUUCUUCAAGUCUCUUACCAUUGGAAUACCACAAGUCGGCCCUCCUUAUCCGUGAGGGAUUGGUUCCGGGACCCCUCGCAGGUACAAAAAUUCACGGAUGUUCAAGUCCCUUAUUCAACCUGUCUCAAGUUUCUGUUCACGAAAAUAAUCACGAUCGCGAUUGAAAAUAAAGAGGAAAUAAUAAAGCGAUCAGAAAGAGGUGAAACACCAUCGGUCAUUGGAAAAGCAUUAGACUAGUCGGUCAACGAUUGGAACAAUUUUAAUGGAUAAAGUGAGAAAGGUUCUGCCCCGAUGAAAGCUACAAUUAUUACUAAGCAACGCAGUGGUUUAAUUAUUGGGUUUUGGAGUUUGGGGUUUUUGAUCCUCACAUCAACCCGGCACGGCGGAGAGCACACUCAAUAGCGGUCUGUCACUGGAUCGAACUCAGGAAGAAGUUUCUGAGCUCGGCGCUGAAACAUACAUUCUUAAGUGUUUUAUAUGCAUAGAAAGGGCUCACUGAUCAACCGUUUUUCAACAUGCCAAGGACGCAGUCCAGAAGAUGUGUGCACUUUCGGGGUUCUGAGGCUUUGCAGCACUGUGGAUGAGCUGAUUCCAAGCUGGUGUUGCUGAAUGAAGCAUCACAGGAGAAAAUGGAACAUCACAAACAAUGGAUUGAAUCACUCUCUCUCAUUCUUGAUGGUGGGGGAAGAGUUUGCUGCCGACUCUUGAGUUGGAGAACUCGAAAAAAAGUUGGGUGAACAAUUAGUUUUUGUUGUACUGCAGAUCAUGGUCUUUCUUUUGAGGCUUUACUAUUGCAUGCUUGGUGGGUGGUGGGUGCUGAUGCUUUUGUUGAAAUAAGUGGGGGAGGGGGAGGGUUGAUGUUUGUGUGCAGGG